rnacentral:ncRNA from 1 species
GGGUGUUGCGCCGCAGCGGCGGCAAGACAGGUUUAAUGCUGGUCGGGCCGCCAGCA